CCUACGGGAGGCAGCAGUGAGGAAUAUUGGUCAAUGGACGAGAGUCUGAACCAGCCAAGCCGCGUGAAGGAUGACUGCCCUAUGGGUUGUAAACUUCUUUUAUAAAGGAAUAAAACGAGGCACGUGUGCCUUUUUGCAUGUACUUUAUGAAUAAGGAUCGGCUAACUCCGUGCCAGCAGCCGCGGUAAUACGGAGGAUCCGAGCGUUAUCCGGAUUUAUUGGGUUUAAAGGGAGCGUAGAUGGGUUGUUAAGUCAGUUGUGAAAGUUUGCGGCUCAACCGUAAAAUUGCAAUUGAUACUGGCAGACUUGAGUACAGUAGAGGUAGGCGGAAUGCGUGGUGUAGCGGUGAAAUGCGUAGAUAUCACGAAGAACCCCGAUUGCGAAGGCAGCUUACUAAACUGUGACUGACAUUGAGGCUCGAAAGUGUGGGUAUCAAACAGGAUUAGAUACCCUAGUAGUC
rnacentral:rRNA from 1 species